GAAAGAGCAUCCUCCCUUCUUAUUGUGAGGCGAGCCGAGGGCCGCUGUGCACUCUGACUAGAGCCGUAUAGAUUGGCAGAGUCUCACAGAUUAUGUCCAUUGAUUGGACAGAAGGGGUUUGUGGUUUCAAUUGAUGCAGCUUUCUGUCUGACUUUCUGUUCUGCGAUUUCAGGGGCCGAAGGAGCAGUGUUCAGCAAAUCUGUGGAGACGCCGCAUGUCAGGGCCGAGCCGUUCAAAGAGCUACGGUUGGAGUCUCCCACCCGCUCUUUACUGAUGGAGGCCCCGAAAGGAAUCCAGAUCCUGGCCGAGGCCGGAGACAUCCAGGCCAUCUGCAGGAACGAGCUGCGGCUGGAGUCCAAAGACGGAGAGAUUGCUCUGGAUGCUCAGAGGAUCCGUCUGAUGAGGCUGCCAGAAGGAAAAGCUUCCUCCAGCUCCUCGUCCUCUGGGACUAGGCAGACUGUCUAUGAAGUUUGCGUUUGUCCUAACGGGAGACUUUUUCUGUCCCUUGCUGGCACCGGAUCCACCUGCCAGAUCAACAACAACGUCUGCCUCUAGGACUGCAACUCUAUAAUUUUGUACAACUAUAAAUAAGAUAUUCGGUGGGGGGGCGGGAGGAAAUGACACGCAGAGCAGGCCGAUGUUCAAACGCUGUCUGCCUCUAGGACUGAUCCAUGGCAAAUACAAAGACUGCCAGAGCCAACAGACAAACAAAUAAGCGUCAUUUUUCAAUCAAAAACACUUUAACCUUGGGUUCUACUGAUGUGUUUAAAAAGUCAAUAAGGACGAGUUUGCUUUAAGGUUUCUGAGCGGUGCCAAAUUUCAGUGAGAACAUAUAUUUUUCCCUAACUUCUACAGAAGUCUAAAGGUUACAGGUUUCAAUACCUUUUUAAUACAGAAGGACAGAAUGGCACUUUUCGCUCUGACCUGGACAGAGACAAGUAUAAAUAAGGUUGGUGUUUGUAUCGUAAUGGCUUGACCUUAAAUGACUCACAUGACACGUCUGUUUAUUAAUAGCAAGCAAACAUAGGAAACACUUAACAGAAUUCCAGUGAGUAUUUUCUCCUGACAGAAAUGGAGAGGAAAUUCCUCUGAGAUCUACUAUAAAAGACACUGAUCUGCUCCCUUUUUUUCCCCCCCGGACCUUCUCAGUGCCAGAACCUCUGGGGUCAUCACCCAUGACAACAGGCCAAGUCUCUUUGCUAUUUAAGUUUGGUUUUACGGAACAAUUGAGAAAUAUUUUAGCUGCUGUGUUUGUAUGUGCUUUUAUGUGGCUGACUUUCACUCACAGUUUCUACAUAAGUUUGGCCAUGUUACCUUCACAUCAAAAUCUGUAAAGUCUGAGCAUUUAACUGAAGUUCAAUCAAAUUACAAAAGUUUCUUAAGGUUUUUAUGCAUAAAAUAUUCAAGAUUUGUCUUCUUCUCCUCAUUAAUCCAAAAUGUCUUCUAUCAUGCAAGCAGUUAACAACAAAUCAAUCACAGCCGAUUGAUUAAAUAAUCAAGUAUUAAAAUAUGUGAUUAUUGUUCACAAUGCUGCAGAGAAAUCACAUCCUGAAUCACAUAUAAAUCUUGAAAAAUAUAUUUAAUUUGAGUAAAAAUCUAAUUUAAAGUAGUGUGUUUUCAACCCUCUGCAGCUGUUUUGUCAUUUUGCCUUUUAACAAAAAUAUAUUUUCAACCAGGCUGCUCAGCGAGACAAAACUUACAUUAUGUUGAUUUUAAAACACAAUAAAUACACAAAAAAUAAAUCAAUAAAAUAAGAUGUCUGAACUCUUGUGGUGAUCACCCUACUGGUUUCUUGCACUGUAAGUUUAAAAAAAGAUAUUGAACCACUCUUUUGAAAGAGGGGAACUGUGCCUGUGCCUUAUGUCAAUGCACUCUUGGCAAGAAGAAGCACAUCAGACAAACUUUCUUUGACAUUAAUGAGUUUCAUGGUCUGAUUUUAGUUUGGUUUUUAUCCAGAUCACAAACCUUUUCCUUGUGUGCGAAUGCAAAGACCUUCAGCCGCCUCCGACUGUAGACACUCACAUUCGACUGCUGUGAUGGAUACAGCAUGUUGGGUUUUCUUUCAUGUAUCACAAUUUAUAUCUUUGUUUUUAAAAUAUUGCUUUUAAGUGUGUGUUAAGGCUUGACUUGGCAAUCAUGUGAUACUGUGGACUUUAAAACUGUAUUGGUUUGAUUUUUAAACAUUUGGACACUUACCUUAAGAAUACAUUAAAAUAUAUUUUUGUCAUUAGAAAUGUGUUUCAAAGUCCACCUAUGGUCUUCAGCAUUUGUUUAAUUCUUCACAGGUGAUGUAAAGAUAUACUUUGCAGAAGUUUUGCUACCUUGUUUAAUAACUACAAAAAAACGAUCAAAGCUAAUAAAAUACUUGGGUAAGAGUUUGGACACAUGUAAAAUAAAACUUAAAGAAAAGAUGUUUUAUAAAUUGUAUUGUACAUUUCAAUUUGCAAGCCUCCAUUUUCUUAUGAAAAUAACACCCCCUCAGCAUUGGCAGUAUUUUGGCAAUGUUCAGCAUUUAAUUUAACAUUACAAAACUCAAACCUCCCAUGAACUGCAGAGUGAAGGGUUUGCAUACAAGCUUGAUAAUUAUGUGUCAAAAAUGUGCCACGUAGUGCAGCAUUGGUCAGUAAAACAUUAAAAAAAACUUAUUUGAUAAUCUUUGCUGUUGUUUUUUAAGCUCCAUAUGUUCAAAUAAAACCUUUAUUGAGAUAUGAAGGACUUCAGAGGAGGGCUAUAUGAUUUAAAAAGUAGUCAUUUUAGACUACAGUUUUAUAAACGGUGUAUGAAAAUGACUUUACUGAAGGUUAGGCUUUUAUUAAUGUUUGCAGUUAGAAGAAAGGAAAUGUAGAUGUUGGUAAAAGACAAAGGUGUGUAUGUUCUGUAUCCAACUGUUUGGAAAAUGUUCCAGAACCAGAUGAAAACCACUUUAAGGUAAAAAAAAAAAAAAAGGUGGGGGUUUAAUUCAAUAACAUGUUUAUGUUGAUUUUUAGAGAAACUUGCCACUUUUUUUCCUUGAUUUACUUGCCAUAUGAUGUGUUUUAACCUUCCAGCUGCUGCUGUGCUUCAGGUUUCUCUCUGUGAGAAAGGAAAGAGGUGGAAUUGUUGUAUUUGCAGCUUGAUCAAAUAUUUUUUGACAGACCUAAUUAUGAAUCACCAUAAACUAAACAUAUGUAUGGCGCUAAUCCAGAUGGUUGGGUGCUAUUCCAAGAAACGGUCAACACAAGUAAAAGAAUACUUCAGAUUUAUAGCAGGAAUGAUUUUUUUAUUUUUUUUUUUGCUGUUGUUCUUUUUUGUUUGUUUUUGUUUUUUUGCUAUAUCUUCAAGAUGUCCUACUCCAAACAUUGUGUUAUAUUUUAUAAAUUUAUACAUAAUUUGGUGACUAUAGAUAUGAUUUUCCAUUGCAAAAGACUUGCAUGUGACAUCCUCACUCUGUAGUUAUUUAUGUCACCAUAUUGGUUAUCAAUCCAGCGUUUAGCGAUGUUAAAAUAUACGGUGUGGAUGAAACCUGCUGUAAAGUUUUACUGAUCUAAAACUAGGCGAAGACAGAGGCUAUCUAAACCAGACAUUCUUCUCUGCACACUUCCGCUCAUCCACUAAUGUGCUAACAGUGGAGCUAAUGUUUCAUGUAGCACUUUGCUAACUUUGAAAAUGUUUAAAUACAUUUUUCUGGAUAAAUUCCAGAGAGCUAAAUUACUUGGCUGUUUUAUAAAGUUUCAGACAAAUUAAGAUUGACAUCUGUGUUAAUGUAUUAGUUAAUAACUUAAGAAUUCAAGCAAUUAGCCUUUUUCAUGCUCUUAUUUUGAAGGGGGUGAAGACGUUCUGCUUCCUCUCCUUCUGUUCCUUCUUUUUUCUGCAUACCUGAUUUCAAACAAGAUACAAACAGAAGAAAAAUACAAUAUUAACAAUAGAGAACUUUACAUGAGCAUAAAUACAAUAUCUAAGGGCCGUAUAGAACAUGCAAAUUAUGUCAUAAUUAAACUGGUGCUUGAAGAUUGUAGCCCUUUAAGGGCAGACAUAAUUUGAAUUUAGGUUAGUGCUUUAGCACUAGCUUUUUUAAAUAAAGUAUUGAAAGCACUUUUUCAGAAUUAGUGUUUAUGAUUUGUGCUGUAGGGCUAACACAGCUAAUUGUGUAGUUAGCUGUGUCCAUUACUGUUGAUAACCAAUAUGCAAGACAUUUGGUCUCAAAAUGCUACAUCUUUUUGAAAAUUCCCCAUUGCAAAGCAAAAUAAUCUUUUUUUUUUAAAGAUAUGUUAUAGUCAAGGACAUAGAAAUAGUUCUAGUAUAUUUGGACAGUUUUAGAAGAUGCAGCAACUUUAAGCAUAAAGUUCAGUUUUUUAAGUUUACUCCUACAAGUAAAGUUACCACCACUUUCAUAUCACACAAUUUAAUUAUUCAACAUCUUUAGUGUUUUGUGUCCUCUCUUAGUCAGGUGUGCCACCUUUUCCUUCUGUUUCCUAUGUCACUGUACAUUAUAUAUUUUCCCACAAAACUCAACCUGAAUCUGCUGUAUUUACUUUUUGAAUACAUGUAAACAGACUUUUAUAGGGCUGUGAAUGUAAAUAAUGUAAACAUGAAUGCGGUGAUGCGGCGUUAAAGAGAAAUGUUGCUCUUUUAGAAGCCUUUUUUUUUAUGUACAAUGAUACAUGUUUUUAUACUAAAAAGGGCAAAAAGUACUCCCAAAAAGUUAAAAGGUAUUCAUUGACUCAGCAUGUACGGCAGUGUAUACAACGCUGGCCUGUGGAGAACAAGCUCGUUUUGAUUUUGUUUCAUGUUCUCGUGUCUCCGGCUGAGCUCAGAUGUUUGCUACAAACACAAAGCUGCAGAUGUUUUUGUUUUCCUACUUUGGUGCUGAGGUCUUUGCAUUCCUUCUACGUGUGCCGUGUGUAAAUUUGCGCUUGUAUGAGCUACGUUUGGUUCUUCUGCUCCUCUGAACGUGUUGGAUGGUUGCCAGUAAAUCAAAUGCAGAAAACAACUGAAAACCUAAAGGGAAAGAGCAGAAGAAACAUCUGCACAGCGUUGAUGAGUAUUGUUUUUCCACAUAUGUAGUUUACUCCAACAUUCCCACUUAAAUAUGUUUAGGUUUGCUAAUAACAUGAGUUUAAAUUUCACACAUCCAGGAUUUGUUCUACUAAUCAGUCAGUUAUUCAGUCAUGAUAAGUGACAAGUAAACUAACUAAUGCAAGAAACGUUUUGCCUGCUUGUUAAACUAUAUACAUCCAACAAGGUGUACAAAAACACACACAAAAUGAAACUCUAAAGGUAUUUACCUUGGCUGUGCCAAAAACAAUCCCCUCAGCGCUGUGCUUUUGCUCUGAACACUCUGUACCUUCUUUUCCUGACAGCCCACUCGUUUUUCCAUCUUUUCUUUACUCUUCAGUCAGAAACUGCCGUUCAUGGAGUAGUUUUCAAAGAUGCCAAAAUAAAAAAAAGGCAUUGUUCGAA